AUGAGCUGGGUGCGACAGGCUCCAGGGAAAGGACUGGAAUGGGUGUUGUACAUAUAUCAAGCAGGCAGCUUUGGCUCCAUGUGGGUAGAGCAGACUCUUUGGGUUGCAGGAGAUCUCAUUAAAACAACUUUUAUUUUAGAUGUUCGAUCUGAGAUGCACUUGGUGGAGUCCGGAGGGGAUGUGAGAAGACCUGGAGAGUCCCUCCGUCUCUCCUGCCAAGCCUCCGGAUUCAACUUCAGAGUCUACUGGAUGGUGUGGGUGAGACAGGCUCCAGGGAAAGGAUUGGAAUGGGUGGCAUUGCUGUAUCAUGAUUCAAGCAAUAAAUUCUACUUGGAUAAAGUGAAGGGACGGUUUACCAUCUCAAGGGACAAUUCCAAAAGCCAGCUGUAUUUGCAAAUGAACAGCCUCAAACCUGAGGACACAGCAGUCUAUUAUUGCACAACACACACAGUGAGAGGAAGUGAAUGUGAAUUACCAUAA